rnacentral:rRNA from 1 species
ACUAUGUAGCAAUACAGUGUGAUGGACUGCCUUUUGCAUAAUGAGCCUGCGAGUUGUGGUGUCUGGCAAGGUUAAGCAAACGCGAAGCCGUAGCGAAAGCGAGUCUGAAUAGGGCGCUUAGUCAGAUGCUGCAGACCCGAAACGAAGUGAUCUAUCCAUGAGCAAGUUGAAGCUAGUGUAAGAACUAGUGGAGGACUGAACCCAUAGGCGUUGAAAAGCCCCGGGAUGACUUGUGGAUAGGGGUGAAAGGCCAAUCAAACUUCGUGAUAGCUGGUUCUCUCCGAAAUAUAUUUAGGUAUAGCGUUGUGUCGUAAUAUAAGGGGGUAGAGCACUGAAUGGGCUAGGGCAUACACCAAUGUACCAAACCCUAUCAAACUCCGAAUACCUUAUAUGUAAUCACAGCAGUCAGGCGGCGAGUGAUAAAAUCCGUCGUCAAGAGGGAAACAACCCAGACUACCAGCUAAGGUCCCUAAAUCUUACUUAAGUGGAAAACGAUGUGAAGUUACUUAAACAACCAGGAGGUUGGCUUAGAAGCAGCCAUCCUUUAAAGAAAGCGUAAUAGCUCACUGGUCUAGUGAUUUUGCGCGGAAAAUAUAACGGGGCUAAAGUAAGUACCGAAGCUGUAGACUUGCGCACAACUUAGAUUAUUUAAGUUUAGAAUAUGAGAAACUAAGUUAUGUUUAGUUAUAUUUUUACUGAUUUUUAUAGAGUAAAGAUAGAAAUAAAACUUAGUAAAAUCAGUAAAAAUAUUCUUAGGCUAAAGUUAAGUAGUUUAAGUUGUGUGCAAGUGGUAGGAGAGCGUUCUAUUUGCGUCGAAGGUAUACCGGUAAGGAGUGCUGGAGCGAAUAGAAGUGAGCAUGCAGGCAUGAGUAGCGAUAAUUAAUGUGAGAAUCAUUAACGCCGUAAACCCAAGGUUUCCUACGCGAUGCUCGUCAUCGUAGGGUUAGUCGGGUCCUAAGUCGAGUCCGAAAGGGGUAGACGAUGGCAAAUUGGUUAAUAUUCCAAUACCAACAUUAGUGUGCGAUGGAAGGACGCUUAGGGCUAAGGGGGCUAGCGGAUGGAAGUGCUAGUCUAAGGUCGUAGGAGGUUAUACAGGCAAAUCCGUAUAACAAUACUCCGAGAACUGAAAGGCUUUUUGAAGUCUUCGGAUGGAUAGAAGAACCCCUGAUGCCGUCGAGCCAAGAAAAGUUUCUAAGUUUAGCUAAUGUUGCCCGUACCGUAAACCGACACAGGUGGGUGGGAUGAGUAUUCUAAGGCGCGUGGAAGAACUCUCUUUAAGGAACUCUGCAAAAUAGCACCGUAUCUUCGGUAUAAGGUGUGGUUAGCUUUGUAUUAGGAUUUACUCCGAAAGCAAGGAAACUUACAACAAAGAGUCCCUCCCGACUGUUUACCAAAAACACAGCACUCUGCUAACUCGUAAGAGGAUGUAUAGGGUGUGACGCCUGCCCGGUGCUCGAAGGUUAAUUGAUGGGGUUAGCAUUAGCGAAGCUCUUGAUCGAAGCCCGAGUAAACGGCGGCCGUAACUAUAACGGUCCUAAGGUAGCGAAAUUCCUUGUCGGUUAAAUACCGACCUGCAUGAAUGGCGUAACGAGAUGGGAGCUGUCUCAAAGAGGGAUCCAGUGAAAUUGUAGUGGAGGUGAAAAUUCCUCCUACCCGCGGCAAGACGGAAAGACCCCGUGGACCUUUACUACAGCUUGACACUGCUACUUGGAUAAGAAUGUGCAGGAUAGGUGGGAGGCUUUGAGUAUAUGACGCCAGUUGUAUAUGAGCCAUUGUUGAGAUACCACUCUUUCUUAUUUGGGUAGCUAACCAGCUUGAGUUAUCCUCAAGUGGGACAAUGUCUGGUGGGUAGUUUGACUGGGGCGGUCGCCUCCCAAAUAAUAACGGAGGCUUACAAAGGUUGGCUCAGAACGGUUGGAAAUCGUUCGUAGAGUAUAAAGGUAUAAGCCAGCUUAACUGCAAGACAUACAAGUCAAGCAGAGACGAAAGUCGGUCUUAGUGAUCCGGUGGUUCUGUGUGGAAGGGCCAUCGCUCAAAGGAUAAAAGGUACCCCGGGGAUAACAGGCUGAUCUCCCCCAAGAGCUCACAUCGACGGGGAGGUUUGGCACCUCGAUGUCGGCUCAUCGCAUCCUGGGGCUGGAGCAGGUCCCAAGGGUAUGGCUGUUCGCCAUUUAAAGCGGUACGCGAGCUGGGUUCAGAACGUCGUGAGACAGUUCGGUCCCUAUCUGCCGUGGGCGUAAGAAGAUUGAAGAGAUUUGACCCUAGUACGAGAGGACCGGGUUGAACAAACCACUGGUGUAGCUGUUGUUCUGCCAAGAGCAUCGCAGCGUAGCUAAGUUUGGAAAGGAUAAACGCUGAAAGCAUCUAAGCGUGAAGCCAACUCUAAGAUGAAUCUUCUCUAAGCUCUCUAGAAGACUACUAGUUUGAUAGGCUGGGUGUGUAAUGGAUGAAAGUCCUUUAGCUGACCAGUACUAAUAGAGCGUUUGGCUUAUCUUU